rnacentral:rRNA from 1 species
CGAGAGUUUUUAACUCAAGUGGCGGACGGGUGAGUAACACGUAAGAAUUUGCCUUUAGGAGGGGGAUAACAACUGGAAACGGUUGCUAAUACCCCAUAUGCUUUCGAGUGAAAUGGAUUUUUCCGCCUAGAGAGAAGCUUGCGGCUGAUUAGCUUGUUGGUAAGGUAAUGGCUUACCAAGGCGACGAUCAGUAUCUGGUUUGAGAGGAUGAUCAGACACACUGGAACUGAGACACGGUCCAG